CCCACUUGCAGACCGAAGGCUGCAGCCACGGAUGCUAGGGAACCUUGCCCUUCCCGGGACCGGCGCCCACACGGACAGAGCUUGGCGGCGGGGCCGGGGCACCCACACUUCCGCCCGGCAGGUGGCGCCGCUCUGGCGCGGACCCCGGGAGACCGAGCCCGACCGGUAAGAUGGCGCCGCCCAUGCCGCUGCGUCCUUUCUCCCGGCUGCUGGCCCCCGCCAGGCUCCCGAGCGCCGCUUCAGGGCGGUCGAAGUUCUACGUGCGGGAUCCGCCGAACGACAAACCCAACUGGCUGAAGGUUGGGUUGGCCUUCGGCACCUCCGGCUUCUUGUGGUUCCAUCUCAUCAAACAACAUAAUGAAGAUAUUUUAGAGUAUAAAAGAAGAAAUGGGUUGGAAUAAACUUUUGAAAUAGUAAUACACAUCUCUCCGCCGGAUGUCAUCUAGCAAAUUCCCUGGACCAUCUGGAUCAAAUAUGAUUUACUAUCUGGUUGUAGGGGUCACGGUCAGUGCUGGUGGAUAUUAUGCUUAUAAGACGGUCACGUCAGAGCAAGCCAAACACACGGAGCAUAUAACAAAUCUGAAAGAAAAAACAAAAGCGGAGUUGCCUCCUCUUCAAGGU